rnacentral:rRNA from 1 species
AUACAGAGGGUGCGAGCGUUAAUCGGAAUUACUGGGCGUAAAGCGCGCGUAGGCGGUUUGUUAAGUCGGAUGUGAAAUCCCCGGGCUCAACCUGGGAACUGCAUUCGAAACUGGCAGGCUAGAGUAUGGUAGAGGGAAGUGGAAUUCCGGGUGUAGCGGUGAAAUGCGUAGAUAGCCGGAGGAACAUCAGUGGCGAAGGCGGCUGACUGGUUCAAGACUGACGCUGAGGCACGAAAGCGUGGGGAGCAAACAGGAUUAGAAACACCAGUAGUCC